UACGGGGGGGGCAAGCGUUGUUCGGAAUUACUGGGCGUAAAGGGCUCGUAGGCGGCCAACUAAGUCGGACGUGAAAUCCCCAGGCUCAACCUGGGAACUGCGUCCGAUACUGGAUGGCUUGAAUUCGGGAGAGGGAUGCAGAAUUCCAGGUGUAGCGGUGAAAUGCGUAGAUAUCGGGAGGAACACCUGUGGCGAAAGCGGCUCACUGGACCAUUACUGACGCUGAUGCACGAAAGCUAGGGGAGCAAACAGG
rnacentral:rRNA from 1 species